AUCUCUUGAGACUUCACUUCAGCUUCACUGACUUCUUGAGUCUCCUCUUGAGUAAAAGGACUCAGCCAACUAUGAAGUUUUUUGUCUUUGCUUUAAUCUUGGCUCUCAUGAUUUCCAUGACUAGCGCUGAUUCACAUGAAAAGGUAAGACAUUUUCAUUUACCGGAAAACUUGAUAAAUAAUCAUAUAUUGAAUUUUUAAUCUUUUCUUUUUAUUUCAUAGAGACAUCAUGGGUAUAGAAGAAAAUUCCAUGAAAAGCAUCAUUCACAUCGAGAAUUUCCAUUUUAUGGGGACUAUGGAUCAAAUUAUCUGUAUGACAAUUGAUAUCCUUAGUAAUCAUGGGGCAUGAUUAUAGAGGUAAGCUGACUCUAGUUACUUGUCUUUCUAGAAGUGUCAACACUGACAGUUUAAAAAAAAAAGCCAUAAGCUAACAACCAUUCCAGUUUAAGAAAUGUAGCAUGGGUUAGCUCCUUGAAGUGUAUUCAUUUAUAUAAAUGCUUCUGAAGCUGUAGAUAUGUGGUGUUAUUUCUGAGGUCUCUGUUCUGUGCCAUUGGUCUGUAUGUCUGUUUUGGUACUGGUACCAUGCUGUUUUGGUAACUGU
rnacentral:sRNA from 1 species